GGAGGGAGCAAUAACCACACACUCCUUGGGGUCUGCAGAAAACCUAAGCCUUCCUCAGGAGCAAGUGAUUGUGAUGAGUGCCAAUAUGGGAUGCAGUCACUGCAGGCAGAGGGUCUCCAAGGUGGUCUCCAAAAUGAACACAGGCUUGGUGGAUUACAUGGUGGAUUUGCAAAAGAAAGAGAUCACAAUGAGGGGGGUUGUAGAGACCAAGAAGAGGAAGGUGCAUCCUAAUCACACAAGGAAGAAGAUGACAUUAAUUAGCUUCUUGGGCUUCUUUAG